rnacentral:lncRNA from 1 species
UUUUUGCUUGCUGCCCACACCAGAAUAGGUUUUAAAAACAUAACCACAAACUAUUUAAUAACUGGCAUCCUCCCGAAUUAUAACAUGCGCCCAAAACCUUCACAUCCACAAUCGCACUCUACCUUCUCUCUCUAUCAGCGACUCCACCAAUGCGGUUGCCGCUGUCGAGUUCCUCGUUGUCUCCAUCCAUGCCGUUGGCGAGUUCCUCCGAUCCUUCCGAUAGUGGAGUAUAACCACAACCUAAACAAAGAUUCUGGUGAGUUUUUUUGUUUCAAAUCUAUUUGGGUUUUGUGGGUAUUAGUGGAGUAUAACCAACCUAAACAAAUUAAGUUUGGCGCGUACGAAUUAGUGUAUUGAAGUUGUAUGAUAUUUUUUUGGAACAUUCGUUUCUUUUGUGAUAGCUCCAUUAGAUGCAAGACUGAGUUUGUUGUUGAGCAAUUGGCAUCGAAUUAUUAUUUUUACUGCCAUCGAGAUCGCAGCUGCCACAACCUAUUUUGUUUUUGUUUUUGUCAGAACCAGACCAGACCGAACCAAACUAAACCUUCUUCUGGCAAUUUAUUUUGUGAUUUAGUGCUUUUGCUUGUGCUGAAUUAGAAGUUUUUGCAAAAUGAGUUCAACCAGGCGAUUGUGCGUGGAUGGUUAAUUUGGUUAUGCAAUGGCUUUGUUCUUGUUCUGCACAACCUUGUAUUCCUUUUGUGGCCAAUGAUGUUCUAAAUAUUUGCCGACAUUGUCUGACUGGCCUGGCCAUGGUCAUGGCCAUGAAACUCUGAAACUGUGCUGAGGCCAAAUGGAUGCAAGUAGAUAUUCUUUAUGUUAUGUUAUCAAAACAAAUAUAUAUUCUUUUUUUUAAAAAAAUAAAUGUAUUUAAUUAUUUAUUUAUUUUCUGUAUAAUAAAUACUAAAAAGUUGUUUUUUGUAAUGUAGGACCAAUUUCUUUGUAAUGAUUUUCAUUUAAUUUGAUAGCAAAAUUCAAAAUUUAAAAUAUGUUUAAAUUAAAAAUACUUAAAAACGAAUUAUUUAGAUUAAUUUUCAAAACCAACAUUUGAAACAACUACAAAGUGAAAUAUGAAAUUUAAAAAGUAAAAAUGGACAAAUAAAUUUAUUUUAAAAUAUUUUAUUUUUAAAAAAUGAAUAAAUAAAUCAGAACAUUAAUAGUAACUUAAAUUGAGAAUUCUUCUCUCUCUAGUUUCCAUUCUUAAAAAUAAUUAAAUAAUUUUAUAUUCUUAAAAAGUAGAUUCUAGAAUACUCCAAGAAUGCUAAAACAAAGGCUGUAAAAGUCAUUUACUCCAUAGGAAAAUAUCUUUUAGUUUUAUAAUAGCAACUAAGGCUCAUCAAUUUUUUUUAUUUUUUUGCUUAAAAUAAGCAAAAAAAUUUAUCAGAGUUAGCUUUUUUAUUUUUACUUUUUUGCUUAGUUUUAGUUAAAGUAAAGUCACAAAAACAAAAAAAAUUAAAUUUUUUUUAAUAUUUUUUAUAACAAACUUAAAAAAAAAUUAACUUUUAAUCAUUACCAAACGGAGCCUAAAUCUUGUGAAUUGUAUAAGUUGAUAGUAUAAGAUUGUAGAGUGUGUCCCCUAUCCUAGGAAGGUCCCAUAUUCUAAAGUUUUUUUAUUAUUAUUAUUAUCAAGUUGUGUAAUAUUAUAUACUAAAUCACAAUCAUAUGCUUCUGAUGAAUGUUUGUACUUUAAAUUUUUUUUUUAAUUCAUGUACAUGUAUUAUUUUUAAAAUCACUUUGGUUUAUACUAAUAAAAGAUAUGUCUGUCAAUAAAAAAAGAAAAAAAAAGUUUAAAUUUCACUAUUGGUCUGUCUCAUCUAGUUACGGAGAGCGCAUAUACCUUAGUUUUUCUGUUCAAAAAGUUUAACAAAAGAGUGAGUUGCUAUUUGUUAACGCGGAAAAGCAAUUCAGCAUAAUUCAACAUCUAAAUGGUACCUUAAAAGCAACCCCGGUCAGUUUCAUUUUUAUUGACUCAAGUUUUAUUUUAUUUCUUAUUAUUUUAAUUUGAACAAAGUAAAUUUUAUAAUUUUAAAUCAGUUGUAAUGUUAACUAUGUGUCUAACCGUGUUAGAUUAUUGGAUGAAAAAUUUAAAUUAUAAGGAUUAAAGUAAAAUUUCGGUCAAACUCGAAAGGGUAAACGAGGAAUUAAUCAUUCUUUUAAUUUUUAAGAAAAUCUUUUAAUAUUUAAUCAUAUUUUUGUUAAUGUGCUUUUCUUUUUUCAUAUGAUUUUGAUAAAAAAAAAAUUUUACUUUUUAAUUUCCCUUAUUAACCUAAAAAUAUAAAUAAGGAUUAAAUCUGAAACAAGCCUACCAAAUUUUAUCUAGAUAACUUGUUUUCUAAUUUUAUAAAAUAUUAUACUUUUUACUUGCCUCUAUACCAAAAGCAUUUAAAAGUUAAAAAAAAGUUUUAAAAAGUUCACUGUUGAUAUAUAAAAAAUAGUAUCUUUUUAAUGGUGCUCUAACAUUUGACUGUUUGAUCUAAACAGUGGAGUUCAUGAUUUUUUUGUACGGAUUGUGACUAACAUAUACACAUUUAUCAUGCAAUGAAUGAUGUAAAUGAGGAAUUAUUUGGUGCUCUUAGAUUUAAAUAGUGGAGUUCAUGAUUUUUUUUGUAUGGAUUGUGACUAAUAUAUGCACAUUUUUCAUGCAAUGAAUGAUGUAAAGAAAUGCUCCAAGAGCACCAAAUAAUUCCUCAUUUUUAACAGCUGCCUUUAAAAAAACUAAUACUAAAAUUGAUGGUUUGUUGUUGGACAUUGUACAUUGCUAGAGGUGUCAAACAUGCCCGUCGUGCCAUGCCGUGCCAUUUUUCUUCCGUGUCAGUCGUGCUUCGUGUCGUGUUGUGCUUGGCCCAUUUACUUAAUUGUACCAUGUCGUGCCUUUUUUAAGCGUGCCGUGCCUUUUUUAAGCGUGUCGUGUCGUGCCAUUUUUCUUUAUUCGUGUGUGUCGUGCCGUUGCUGGCCAGCUUACUUAUCGUGGUCGUGCUGUGUGUGCAGGACGCUAACUUAGUCGUGUGACUUGUGUCGUUCCAUGCCGUGCCGUCUACUUAAUCGUGUCGUGCCGUGCCGCAUGGCUAACUAGUCGUAUGAUCGUGCCAUGUCAUUGCCCGUCUACUUAAUAGUGUCGUGUCGUGCUCGUAUUUUAUUGUGUCGUGUCCGUUUUUAAUUAAAAAGACCCCCCCCCCCCCCCCCAAUUACAGUAGUUUGUGGUCAAAAAACAAAUAAGAACUCCCAAAUUAUAAAUAUUUUGACACCAAAAAGGCCUUUUCCAUGGAAAUCAUUAAUUUAGGAAGGUACGCUUAGUGGCCUACAGACUUAUGGGUUAGCAGCCGUGCACAUGAAAAAGGUCAAUUUAUUUAAUUUAAAAUUUAUUUUAAUUAUUUAAUAAUUAAAUUAUUUUUGUCACUUCUGGUCGUUGCCAUAACCGUGCCGUGCCCUUGACACAUACGUGCCCAUGCCCAUGCCGUUAUGCUUGGCCACUAAGUCUGUAUCGUUGUUUGUGUCGUGACCGUGCCAAACCAUGUCAACUAUCGUGUCGUGCCAGAACUGCCCGGGCUUGAUCGCGUGUGCCAGGCUGUACGUGUAAGCCAACUAUCGUGCCGUGCCCGGGCAGCGUUUCGCCUCCACCAUUUUUCGUUGUCCCGUGCCCGUGACCCGUGUCCGCUCAGACCGUUGUCGCCGUGCCGUGCCCAAACUUAUUACCGUGCGAAAAACCGUGCCCAUGCAAGAGUUUUUUCGUGCCAUGCCGUGCCGAAAAGGCCCACUUGACACCUCUAUACAUUGCAUGUAAUCUCGUAUAGAAUGUAUAAUCCUUUUAAAUAUCUUAAUCAAUGAUUUUAGAACACUUGUUAAUAAAAUAUUAAAAAGAGAUUAAUAAGCGGAAUUUUAUAUUGCACACACUCUUAUGUAUAAUGUAUAAAUCUUUUAAAUAUGUUAAUUAAUAACUUUAGAAUACUCCUUAAUAAAAUUCUAAAAGAAGGUUUAGUAAAAGGAAAUGAAAAGUAAUUUUUUUAUUUUAAAAUUAUAUAAAAAAGAAAAGAAAAGUAAAAAAUAAUGAUUACAAACUAAAAAAAUCUUUAAAAAUAAAAAGAAGGGUUAAUUUUCCUUUUAUCCCUUCGAGUUUUACCGAAGUUUUACUUUAGUCCUUAUAAUUCUAACUUACGAUAAAAAAAUUCAACACUGUUUAUGUACAUAGUUAAUAUUGCAAUUGAUCUAAAACUAUAAGAUUUACCUUGUUCAAAUUAAAACUAUAAGAACUAAAGUGAAUCUUGAGUCAAAGUGAAAUUAAUCAUAAAUUACAUAGCAGUUUUUAAUGAUUUUUUUUUCCUUGAUCAAAAUAUUAUACUUUUUUGUAUUUAUCUUAAUGAAAACGCUCUGAAAAGGUAAAAAAAAAAUAUUUUGAAAAAAAAAUCUACUAAAGAAAAAAAAACAUUUUAACUUGACAAAUAAGUUGAUUUUUUUUUGUUUUUUUCCCCCAAAAUUGAUCAAAAUUUUUACUUUUAUAUUUAAAAAAACAUUUUACCUAGUGUAUAUGUUAAUUUUACCUUUUUACCUAGUGUAAAAAAAACAUUUUAAUUUUUACAUAGUAUAUAUGUUUCUUUCUUGUGUCUUUAGAUCAAUAAUAUUAUUUGAAUUCAUGAAGUAUGAUUUUUCAGUCUAGAAUUUCAAAUUCCCAUGGAUUUCAAAUCCUCUAUAACUUUUUUUUCAAUUAUGUGAAUUUUAAUCAAUACAUAUUUUGAUGAGAGAGAGAAGGGGGAGAGAUGGAGAAAUAGUAAAGAAAGAGAUCGGAAGGGAGAGAAAAUUGGAGUGAAGUGUUGAAGGUAAAGUUGAGAUGAGUGAAAAUAUGAAAGAAUUUGUCAUAUGAGAAUAUUAUUAAAACAUUUUAAAUUUUCAAAUCAUACUUGAAUAAUUUACUAUUUUGCUCAUUUAUCAGCCAUAACUAUUAGUAAAUUUGAAAUAAAAAAGGCUAUACAAAUUAAGAAAUUUUAUAAUUUUUUUUUGCUAACUAAUGUGUCACAAAACUGAUAAAAUUUUGAUAUUUAAAAUGGGACCCACCAAAAUGAUGUGAUAAGGAAAAUUUAUGUGAGUAAAAAAAAUUGUAAGAUUUUUAUUAUUGUUUAUCAUUAUUUGUUUGAAAUUAAUGCUCCUUGAAUGUCCAAAGUACACAAUCUUCUAGAACAAAAAUUUCAAAAUAACUAAAACUGUUAAUAAAAAUGAAAGUGAAUAUUCAGUUUGCUUGUUCUCUUGAAAGAAUAUGGCUAUUGACAGAGAAAGGUCAAUGAAAAAGCAUUUGGUAACAUGAAGCCGAGGCUUAGCCAGUGGUAAGUAGAAGCCAUAUCAAGACUUCGGUAGGUUCGAGUUUCACCAUCAGUCUCCGGCAUAUAACAUGAUUGUAAAGGGCGAGAGUUCAGGAUGCGAGCUAACACUCGAAGGUCUCACUUUCGAUUCUUGGCUAUUACGUUGCAUAACCGUGUUUACAUUCUGAGGUGCGAAUGACUACCUACUCAGGGUGACAGACAUUAGUUUGAGUCGGCAAAAUACUUGUUUCUCACAAUAUAUUGUUAUUUAACCAUUAUUUUUUUUAUAUUUUAGUAUCAUUGUGUAUAUUAUUUAUUAUAUUUAUACACAUAUUUGGUGCAAGA